AGAGUUUGAUCCUGGCUCAGGACGAACGCUGGCGGCACGCUUAACACAUGCAAGUCGAACGAGAGAAGAGGAGCUUGCUUUUCUGAUCUAGUGGCGGACGGGUGAGUAACACGUGAGCAAUCUGCCUUUCAGAGGGGGAUACCGAUUGGAAACGAUCGUUAAUACCGCAUAACAUAAUUGAACCGCAUGAUCUGAUUAUCAAAGAUUUAUCGCUGAAAGAUGAGCUCGCGUCUGAUUAGCUAGUUGGUAAGGUAACGGCUUACCAAGGCGACGAUCAGUAGCCGGACUGAGAGGUUGAUCGGCCACAUUGGGACUGAGACACGGCCCAGACUCCUACGGGAGGCAGCAGUGGGGAAUAUUGCACAAUGGAGGAAACUCUGAUGCAGCGAUGCCGCGUGAGGGAAGAAGGUUUUAGGAUUGUAAACCUCUGUCUUCAGGGACGAAAAAAGACGGUACCUGAGGAGGAAGCUCCGGCUAACUACGUGCCAGCAGCCGCGGUAAUACGUAGGGAGCGAGCGUUGUCCGGAAUUACUGGGUGUAAAGGGAGCGUAGGCGGGAUCGCAAGUCAGAUGUGAAAACUAUGGGCUUAACCCAUAAACUGCAUUUGAAACUGUGGUUCUUGAGUGAAGUAGAGGUAAGCGGAAUUCCUAGUGUAGCGGUGAAAUGCGUAGAUAUUAGGAGGAACAUCAGUGGCGAAGGCGGCUUACUGGGCUUUAACUGACGCUGAGGCUCGAAAGCGUGGGGAGCAAACAGGAUUAGAUACCCUGGUAGUCCACGCCGUAAACGAUGAUUACUAGGUGUGGGGGGACUGACCCCUUCCGUGCCGCAGCAAACGCAAUAAGUAAUCCACCUGGGGAGUACGACCGCAAGGUUGAAACUCAAAGGAAUUGACGGGGGCCCGCACAAGCAGUGGAGUAUGUGGAUUAAUUCGAAGCAACGCGAAGAACCUUACCAGGUCUUGACAUCGUAUGCAUAGCUCAGAGAUGAGUGAAAUCUCUUCGGAGACAUAUAGACAGGUGGUGCAUGGUUGUCGUCAGCUCGUGUCGUGAGAUGUUGGGUUAAGUCCCGCAACGAGCGCAACCCUUACUGUUAGUUGCUACGCAAGAGCACUCUAGCAGGACUGCCGUUGACAAAACGGAGGAAGGUGGGGAUGACGUCAAAUCAUCAUGCCCCUUAUGACCUGGGCCUCACACGUACUACAAUGGCUGUCAACAGAGGGAAGCAAAGCCGCGAGGUGGAGCGAACCCCUAAAAGCAGUCUUAGUUCGGAUUGUAGGCUGCAACCCGCCUACAUGAAGUCGGAAUUGCUAGUAAUCGCAGAUCAGCAUGCUGCGGUGAAUACGUUCCCGGGCCUUGUACACACCGCCCGUCACGCCAUGGGAGUCGGUAACACCCGAAGCCUGUAGUCUAACCGCAAGGAGGACGCAGUCGAAGGUGGGAUUGAUGACUGGGGUGAAGUCGUAACAAGGUA
rnacentral:rRNA from 1 species